AUUGAACGCUGGCGGCAUGCUUUACACAUGCAAGUCGAACGGUAACAGGCCGCAAGGUGCUGACGAGUGGCGAACGGGCGAGUAAUGCAUCGGAACGUGCCCAGUCGUGGGGGAUAACGCAGCGAAAGCUGCGCUAAUACCGCAUACGAUCUACGGAUGAAAGCGGGGGACCGUAAGGCCUCGCGCGAUUGGAGCGGCCGAUGUCAGAUUAGGUAGUUGGUGGGGUAAAGGCUCACCAAGCCAACGAUCUGUAGCUGGUCUGAGAGGACGACCAGCCACACUGGGAAUGAGACACGGCCCAGACUCCUACGGGAGGCAGCAGUGGGGAAUUUUGGACAAUGGGCGCAAGCCUGAUCCAGCAAUGCCGCGUGCAGGAAGAAGGCCUUCGGGUUGUAAACUGCUUUUGUACGGAACGAAACGGUCCUGGUUAAUACCUGGGGCUAAUGACGGUACCGUAAGAAUAAGCACCGGCUAACUACGUGCCAGCAGCCGCCGUAA
rnacentral:rRNA from 1 species